GUGCUGUCCAUCCAGGAGGAGUUUGUCUUCUGCAGUGACUCAAUCCUGGCAGGAGGAAUCUACCUUGUUGUGCUGCAUCAGAGGCUCCGCUAUAAAAUGCUGACCAACCAUAGAGGGCGCUACUACCAUUCCAUGAAGCCUACUGCAUGUACAUCACACAAUGGUAAUGGAAAAAUUAAAGGGAAAAAAGAACUGAACAUCGCCUUAAUGGCAGAGUGGUGAUGGAAAGAGGAAAACAGAACUGAACACUUCCUUAAUGGCAGAGUGGUAAUGGAAAGAGGAAAACAGAACUGAACACUGCCUUAAUGGCAGAGUGGUAAUG